rnacentral:rRNA from 1 species
AUUGAACGCUGGCGGCAGGCCUAACACAUGCAAGUCGAGCGAGCGGCGGACGGGUGAGUAAUGUAUGGGGACUGCCCGAUAGAGGGGGAUAACUACUGGAAACGGUAGCUAAUACCGCAUACUAUCGGAUAACCCAUAUGGGAUUAGCUAGUGGGUGAGGUAAUGGCUCACCUAGGCGACGAUCCCUAGCUGGUCUGAGAGGAUGAUCAGCCACACUGGGACUGAGAAACGGCCCAGACUCCUACGGAGGCAGCAGUGGGGAAUAUUGCACAAUGGGCGGAAGCCUGAUGCAGCCAUGCCGGGUGUAUGAAGAAGGCCCUAGGGGUGUAAAGUGCUUUCAGUCGGGAGGCGUUACCGACAGAAGAAGCGCGGGCUAACUCCGUGCCAGCAGCCGCGGUAAUUC